rnacentral:rRNA from 1 species
CUAUUGAGGUAGUGCGUCAGGUGUUGACCUUCGGGGGUAGAGCACUGGAUGGGCUAGGGGGGCGCGAGCCUUACCAAACCUAACCAAACUCCGAAUACCGAAGAGUUUAGCCUGGCAGACAGACGGCGGGUGCUAAGGUCCGUCGUCGAGAGGGAAACAGCCCUGACCGCCAGCUAAGGUCCCCAAAUCAUGUCUCAGUGGGAAAGGAUGUGGAAACCCCAAAACAACCAGGAGGUUGGCUUAGAAGCAGCCAUCCUUUAAAGAAAGCGUAACAGCUCACUGGUCUAAUCAAGGGUUUCUGCGCCGAAGAUGUAACGGGGCUCAAGACAUGUACCGAAGCUGCGGGAUCGGUCGUCGGUUUUCAGUAAUCAGUUAUCGGAAGAAGAAGCGUGAUGUCGUGGUCAGUGGAUGACCUGGACGUCUUUCGGCGAGCCUAUGAGGCCUCGCUGGAGGUACACCGGGCCAGCCAAUCAUGGCCGCGCAUGGAGCAAUUCGGUGGCGUUGCGGAUCAGCUGCGCCGUUCAUCGAAGUCGAUCUGCGCGUUGCUGGCCGAAGGAGUCGGGCGGCAACGCUCGUCAGAUGCCGAGUUUCGGCGCUAUUGCGUGAUGGCGCUCGGUUCGGCGGAUGAGACAGGUCUAUGGCUGCGAUAUGCCAGGGAUCUGGGUUUCCUCGCCGAGGAGUCAUUUCUCCGUUGGCGUGAUGAAUAUCGAACGAUUGCUCGUAUGCUGCAGGGCCUGAUCCGGCGCGUGGAUCAGGCAGCUUCCUCUGAUGACUGACUACCGAUAACCGACGACUGAUCGGUAGCGGAGCGUUCCGUAAGCCGAUGAAGGUGGCUCGUGAGGGCUGCUGGAGGUAUCGGAAGUGCGAAUGCUGACAUGAGUAGCGAUAAACAGAGUGAGAGGCUCUGUCGCCGAAAGUCCAAGGGUUCCUGCGCAAGGCUAAUCCGCGCAGGGUGAGCCGGCCCCUAAGGCGAGGCCGAAAGGCGUAGUCGAUGGGAACACGGUUAAUAUUCCGUGGCCCGGUGGAGGUGACGAAUGCCGUAAAUCGUCCGUCCUUAUCGGAUUGGGCGGGCGGUGAAGGCGUUCCAGGAAAUAGCCCCACCAUUAUGGACCGUACCCGAAACCGACACAGGUGGACAGGUAGAGUAUACCAAGGCGCUUGGGAGAACGGUGCUGAAGGAACUCGGCAAAUUGCCUCCGUACCUUCGGAAGAAGGAGGCCCGCCCAUUGGGCAACCAGUGGGCGGGGGCACAGAAGAGGGGGUGGCGACUGUUUACUAAAAACACAGGGCUCUGCGAAGCCGCAAGGCGACGUAUAGGGUCUGACGCCUGCCCGGUGC